UAUGCUUUCUGCUAUGAUGUCU
rnacentral:siRNA from 1 species